rnacentral:lncRNA from 1 species
GGAGAGAAGACAUUUAUGUCUUCAGACUAUUUUUGGACUAAUUAUGAAAUUAAGGCUCAUAAAUUUAAAAAGUUCACAUCAUGAGUUAAGCCACAGAGAGAUGAUGGGAAGUAUCUAGGAGUUAGGUAAAGGGCUUCACACUAUUUCUAGUCUGUCUGUGAAAGCUUUCUGGAUAUGUUGGUGUUUGAGCUGUAUUUCAUGUUUUGUUGUAAACAUCCUGUGAUAGAUUAACAUUAGGCCACCCCACCAUUUAUAACAAAACUACCAUUAAUGUGCAAAGAAUUAACAUUGUUGUGUCAGGAAAAGGAAAACCAAAGUGAAUUAGGAAGAAGCAGAAAACUGUUAGUGUUUGAAGGAAGAUACUGGGUCCCAGAUGGAGAGAACCAUCAGCCUGGGGUCAGGUUGGAGCCACACCCCUGAGUCAGGCACAUAGCAGGUGAGUAAGCAGGUGCCUGCUGCAGAUGUGUGUGCAGCCCGUGAGAUCCUCCCCACGCUUCCUUAGCAGCAGGCGUGUCAACUGAAAGACACUUCACUCGGGGAGAAUGACUUUCAGACAUGAGGAAUGGUUGUCACGUGAGUCCGUGAAGUGCUCACAUUCUUUUAACAGCAUACUCAACAAGUCAACAGUUUAUACCAUUUGAUUUUAAAGAUUUCAAAUGAAUACUGAGCAUUUCCUGGUAAAAGGCACUUUUUAAUCAACAUAAAAUGUCAAAAGGAAAUAACUUAAAUAUUUUUCAGGAUAUGAUGUUAUUCAUAUCAUAGACAAUGGACUAGCUUUAUUUUAUAGAAACUG